rnacentral:lncRNA from 1 species
AGUUGACAGAAGAAUUCCCAGUGAUUUAUGUGGAGAGGUAUUUCACCCUUCAUUUCCCAGAAAGAUGUCUGCUUUCUAUGAUAAGUACAGGAACAUACGCACAUGACCCUGCUGAGAAAAGAGUUCAUUUGCUGGUUUAUAAGACUGUCAAGCUUCCAGAAAAUGAGGAUACCCAUAACAUAUGGGAGCUUGUGGCAUGGCUUAAAGGAACCUGUCUGUCUUCAUUCCUGUCAAGAAGAAGAGUUAGUAUUAUUAGCCUGAAAGUAAAUGUUACCUAAAGAGGGACUGAGCACCACGGAUAUCCUGGGGAAGGCAUUUGGAUACUGCAUGGUUGUGGACUUGUGUAUAAGGUACGAACUUCAGACCUACAUGUAAACUCUCCAGAGGCUUAAAUCUAAAACAUACAUAUGUUCAAAAGAAGGAGGGUAGGACUGAGCAUACAAUUUGCAUGUUAGAGUGGAAGACAGGUUGCUUAAGGAUGAGCUUAGUUCUUGUUGGGAGAGAGGAGAAAGGGUUGAAUUUUGGAGCUGGAGGACUUCAGCAGGGCUGGGAAGAAUGACUUAAACUGGAAAAAGAGGGGACCAGCAAGGAGCAACAGUGGACUGGUGAAAGCCUCCAAAAAGCAGCUGUAGGCCCUUUUAAAGUAAUAGAUUGGGAACAGCCAGGCUGAGUAUGUUAACAGGAUAAUGUGGGUGGAAGACUCACAGAGUCGAAAGUGAGAAAGUAAGAGAAAGCAAGCAACCAAUGAAGAGGAAAAACAAGGAACACAGAGAAAUCUGUGAUGUAAAACUACCUGAACACCUCUGGUGAGAAGUAACAAAGCUCCUGUUCAUCACCUCUUCCACUGAGUGUGUAAAUAGGCUGAACAACUGCUUAGGCUGCCUUUUCAGUGGUAUUUAAGUCUUAUCUUCCGUCACUAAUUGGCUUUGUUCAAUAGAGGUAAACAGGAUCAAGGGGCAACACAGUUAAUGCUGACAGAAAUGUUUUGUAUAGCAUAAAGGAACAGCUGCUUCAGUCACAGAAAAAAAUUAUCAAGAUGGGGUCACUAUAGGUCAUUUAAUCCAUUUUACAGGACAAAGUGGUGAAUGUCUGCAAGGUCCUAAUCCAGCUGCUUUGUAAUGCUUUGAGAACUUUGUCUUUUUUCCAUGCUUCAAAGGAAAGGUAAUGGUACAAUAUCCUUUGCAUGCUACACAACCUCAGUGCUUAGGGGCCACAUGAAGGUGUGGGCAAAGGUGCUUUACAGCAUCUGUAUGUUCACCUGACUUCAGAGCUGGAGCUGCUCAGUCCUCACAGCAGGUCUGCCACUCUAGUUCAUGCUCGGCAUUUUUAUAUACCCCAAAAUGAAUGUUACAAACGUGAAAGUACAUUCAGGUGCCCCUGAUGAUAGUCUCAGCUUUACACUGAU